AGGUUUGGAGGCCAUUGAGAGAAUAACCACUCCUAUUGCAGCUGUUGCUAUAAGCCUAAGAUUUUAAGGUUCGACAACUUUGGCCUUUGCAAGAAUUGUGGCAAUUCAAACAUCUAGUAAUCCUAGUGCCUCUGAUUAGGACCUCCAAUAGGUACACUUUAUUUGUCAUCUUUGUUCUGCUCUUAUUUACUUGUGCUAGUGGC